rnacentral:rRNA from 1 species
AUGACUGGGGUGAAGUCGUAACAAGGUAGCCCUAGGGGAACCUGGGGCUGGAUCACCUCCUUAUCGACA